UUCAUCAAAUGAGAAUCUGCCGCUAAUAUGGAAGAGCAGGGAAUCAAACCUGGUUCUCCAAAGAGUCCACCACUUUUAACCUCUACACCACACUGGCUCUCAGCAGUACGCAGCUACUUCUGAGCUACUCCAAAAACAAUGCUGAAUCUGCAAUGGUCACAAGAAAUUGCAUUCGUUCCUCCUCCGUUCCGAUUCAGCUUCUCUCUAGAAGCAAGAGGGAGUAAUCUCCACCGCUAGUUUGCAGCCUAUUCUUAAUCCUUGCUUUUGCUGGAUUUUAUAAGAUUAAGAGCUAAAGCCCAAGCUAAGCAUAUCAACAGAGGAUGUUCCUCAGUUAUUCGCUGGCCAUUUGUAUCCUGUUAUCUCCACUUGAACUUGUGUGAUCUGUUAGACAGCCCAAAGAAAAUAGAGGGACGGAGACAGAAUUAAUUGUUCACUGAAAUCCAGCUUAGUGUUAAUGAACUUGACGGAAAGCUCCUUUACGGUGGACUUUGAGUGAGCUCCAAAAUCCGUGUGGGUCACAGGUGAGCAUUAAUUCCAGACGCCUCCGUUGAAGCGAUCAGACUGUUUUCGCAAGGUCUCGCAAAACAAAUUACAGGUGAAAUGAAGCACGCUGCCCGUGAGCUACGCAGCAAGUCAGAUGAACGGUGUUCCGUACACUCAAGAAACUCCAGUUUUAAACAGUCAGCCAAACCAGUCCAAAGGUAUCUUGUGAUUACCAUACUGCUCCUCCGUUUAGAGAUGGAAGAGAUGAUUCAAUGCUGAUCCCACUGGGAUGACGGAGAAGAAAAGUUUGGUUUUAUACCCAGCUUUUCUCAUUGUAAAAAGCCUCAAAGUGGCUUACAUCCCCUUCUCUUCCUCUCCUCACUGCAGACACAUUGUGAGGUCGAUGGGACUGAGAGAGUUCAGAGAGAACUGUGACUAGCCCAAGAUCACUCAGCAAGCUCCGUGUGUUGCCCAAAAGAAACUUCUCAAUUUUUGUUGCUGCUUCCUUUCACAAGCCGUUUUCCUCAUACACCAAACUCUGCUUGAAAGCAAACACUUGGAAAGGGAAGGACCAUCACAAGAAGCAUUGUUAUUGCAUUAUUGUAUUACUGCUUUACGAUGUACAUCGCUCUGAGCCUGCAUAGCAGGGGAGAGCAGUCUAAAAAUCCAAUGAACUAAAAUAAGCUGAAGAAAAGGAUCACUUGGAUACAGUCAGCGCGGAGAUCUUGGAGGCGCAUCCCUAAAACUGGUUGUCUUCAGCCGGUUCGCUUUUGAUGGUUGCUAAGCAAUGAAGCAAAAGGAGCAAGAAACAGAGAGACAUCAGAGGAAACAGACUUUGAGAUCCUAAAAGCAAAUGGGAGAUUCGAUAUAGGUGAUUUCCCUGCAAGAACUGGCUUGCAAUGUGUUCUGCAGUGCUAAAUAUCUUGAACCUUUUUUCCCCCCUAUACCACCGAGAUUUUGUGCGCAGCCUGCCUCCCCACCCCCCACCCUGCUAGUCCAACAUCAGCAUCACGAGCACACCCAGCAGGCAGAGAGAGGCUCCUUCCUAGAACACAGGCUGGCUGCUCACAAGAACCAAACGGUUAGCGUUUGCCUCUAACCUGAAAGGGAAAAUGAAAUCCCCUCUCCUAUCACCGGCAGCAGGGAUUCCUGCAGGCAGAUGAUAAUUCUAUCCAGCUACCUCACCGACAGCCAAGGCAGCUUGACAGACAGAAAGACCAAAGGGAAAUUGAUGCUUAAAAAAAAAAAAAGACUUGGAAUUAAUGGUACCAUCUGCUUCCUGAAAUGUCCUCUCGUCUUGCUUGAUGCAUACUGACCAUGUCUCUUUAGGAUUAUAUUAUGUAGGAGGGAAUAUUACACGGAGGAGCAAAACGCA